rnacentral:rRNA from 1 species
UACGUAGGGUGCGAGCGUUAAUCGGAAUUACUGGGCGUAAAGCGUGCGCAGGCGGUUUUGUAAGCCAGAUGUGAAAGCCCCGGGCUUAACCUGGGAAUGGCAUUUGGGACUGCAAGGCUGGAGUUUGGCAGAGGAGACUGGAAUUCCUGGUGUAGCAGUGAAAUGCGUAGAUAUCAGGAGGAAUACCGAGUGGCGAAGGCAGGUCUCUGGGCUAUAACUGACGCUCAUGCACGAAAGCGUGGGGAGCGAAACA